rnacentral:rRNA from 1 species
CCUACGGGUGGCAGCAGUGGGGAAUAUUGCGCAAUGGGCGAAAGCCUGACGCAGCGACGCCGCGUGAGGGAUGAAGGUCUUCGGAUCGUAAACCUCUGUCAGCAGGGAAGAACGGUCACUGUGCUAAUCAGCAGUGAAUUGACGGUACCUGCAAAGGAAGCACCGGCUAACGCCGUGCCAGCAGCCGCGGGAAUACGGAGGGUGUGAGAGGUAAUCGGAAUUUCUGGGCGUAAAGCGCUCGUAGGCGGUAUGUCAAGUCAAGGGUGAAAUCCCCGCGCUCAACGUGGGAACUGCCUUUGAAACUGGCAAACUGGAGUGUGUGAGAGGAUAGUGGAAUUCCAGGUGUAGGAGUGAAAUCCGUAGAUAUCUGGAGGAACAUCAGUGGCGAAGGCGACUAUCUGGCACAUAACUGACGCUGAGGAGCGAAAGCGUGGGUAGCAAACAGGAUUAGAUACCCCUGUAGUC